rnacentral:rRNA from 1 species
CUCAGAUUGAACGCUGGCGGCAUGCCUUACACAUGCAAGUCGAACGGUAACGCGGGGGCAACCUGGCGACGAGUGGCGAACGGGUGAGUAAUAUAUCGGAACGUGCCCAGUAGUGGGGGAUAGCCCGGCGAAAGCCGGAUUAAUACCGCAUGAGACCUGAGGGUGAAAGCGGGGGAUCGCAAGACCUCGCGCUAUUGGAGCGGCCGAUAUCAGAUUAGGUAGUUGGUGGGGUAAAAGGCCUACCAAGCCGACGAUCUGUAGCUGGUCUGAGAGGACGACCAGCCACACUGGGACUGAGACACGGCCCAGACUCCUACGGGAGGCAGCAGUGGGGAAUUUUGGACAAUGGGCGCAAGCCUGAUCCAGCCAUGCCGCGUGCGGGAAGAAGGCCUUCGGGUUGUAAACCGCUUUUGUCAGGGAAGAAAUCUUCUGGGUUAAUACCUCGGGAGGAUGACGGUACCUGAAGAAUAAGCACCGGCUAACUACGUGCCAGCAGCCGCGGUAAUACGUAGGGUGCGAG